GAUGAACGCUGGCGGCGUGCCUAAUACAUGCAAGUCGAGCGAACAGACGAGGAGCUUGCUCCUCUGACGUUGGCGGCGGACGGGUGAGUAACACGUGGAUAACCUACCUUUAAGACUGGGAUAACUUCGGGAAACCGGAGCUAAUACCGGAUAAUAUAUUGAACCGCAUGGUUCAAUAGUGAAAGACGGUUUUGCUGUCACUUAUAGAUGGAUCCGCGCCGCAUUAGCUAGUUGGUAAGGUAACGGCUUACCAAGGCGACGAUGCGUAGCCGACCUGAGAGGGUGAUCGGCCACACUGGAACUGAGACACGGUCCAGACUCCUACGGGAGGCAGCAGUAGGGAAUCUUCCGCAAUGGGCGAAAGCCUGACGGAGCAACGCCGCGUGAGUGAUGAAGGUCUUCGGAUCGUAAAACUCUGUUAUUAGGGAAGAACAAAUGUGUAAGUAACUAUGCACGUCUUGACGGUACCUAAUCAGAAAGCCACGGCUAACUACGUG
rnacentral:rRNA from 1 species